rnacentral:rRNA from 1 species
CGACGUGGGGAACCUGCCGUAUGCAGGGGGACAACAGUCAGAAAUGACUGCUAAUACCGCAUAAGCACACAAUGCUGCAUGGCAUGGUGUGAAAAGAUUUAUCGGCAUACGAUGGCCCCGCGUCUGAUUAGCCAGUUGGCAGGGUAAUGGCCUACCAAGGCAACGAUCAGUAGCCGGCCUGAGAGGGUGAACGGCCACAUUGGGACUGAGACACGGCCCAAACUCCUACGGGAGGCAGCAG